GCGAGAGUGGCGGAAUCGGUAUACGCAAGCGACUUAAAAUCGCUCGCCCUAACAGGCUUACGGGUUCAAGUCCCGUCUCUCGCACCA
rnacentral:tRNA from 1 species